GACGUAGGGCGCGAGCGUUGUCCGGAUUUAUUGGGCGUGAAGAGCUCGUAGGCGGCUCGUUGCGUCGGCUGUGAAAACCCGCAGCUCAACUGUGGGCUUGCAGCUGAUACGGGCGGGCUGGAGUUCGGUAGGGGAGACUGGAAUUCCUGGUGUAGCGGUGAAAUGCGCAGAUAUCAGGAGGAACACCGGUGGCGAAGGCGGGUCUCUGGGCCGAUACUGACGCUGAGGAGCGAAAGCGUGGGGAGCGAACAGG
rnacentral:rRNA from 1 species